GACAGAGGUCCCGAGCGUUAGGCGGAAUCACUGGGCUUAAAGCGUGUGUAGGCGGAUCGUUAAGUGCCUUGUGAAAUCCCACGGCUCAACCGUGGAACUGCUGGGCAUACUGCCGAUCUUGAGCCACUUAGGGGCAACCGGAACAAACGGUGGAGCGGUGAAAUUCGUAGAUAUCGGGAGGAACACCAGUGGCGAAGGCGGCGAUCUGGGAAGAUACUGACGCUGAGGUGCGAAAGCGUGGGGAGCAAACAGG
rnacentral:rRNA from 1 species